rnacentral:rRNA from 1 species
CCAAUAGCGUAUAUUAAAGUUGUUGCAGUUAAAAAGCUCGUAGUUGAAUUUCGGAAUCGACGGAUUGGUCGCGCCUUCGGUGUGUACUGGUCUUGCCGGUUUCUCCCUUCUGACGAACCACGAUGUCAUUAAUUUGGUGUCGUGGGGAAUCAGGACUGUUACUUUGAAAAAAUUAGAGUGUUUAAAGCAGGCAUUAGCUUGAAUACAUUAGCAUGGAAUAAUGAAAUAGGACGUUUGAUCUUAUUUUGUUGGUUUCUAGGAUCGACGUAAUGAUUAAUAGGGAUAGUUGGGGGCAUUAGUAUUCAAUUGUCAGAGGUGAAAUUCUUGGAUUUAUUGAAGACUAACUACUGCGAAAGCAUUUGCCAAGGAUGUUUUCAUUAAUCAAGAACGAAAGUUAGGGGAUCGAAGACGAUCAGAUACCGUCGUAGUCUUAACCAUAAACUAUGCCGACUAGGGAUCGGAUGAUGUUAAUUUUUUAAUGACUCAUUCGGCGCCUUACG